rnacentral:lncRNA from 1 species
GUCUAAAAUGAUGGACAUUUAGACAUUGACGCCAGGCUCACGCCUGACCAGCGCCAUGCCAGGGGCAGGCCGAGCAAAGACAGAGAGGUAGGGAGCGGGCACUGUGGGGACACCAGCCAGGACCUGGGGUCACUGGAGGCUGCUGGGGUGACGGUGGAGAGGGGUUAGCCACAGUGACUCCAGAAGUACAAGGUCCAGGAUGGUCAGUCAGGGACUUGCGGAGAGCCGAGGUGUGCCUUACCCCUCUUGGUGAUGCCAGGUGCCCAGCUCAAGGAGCAACCUUGGCCAGGGUGCUUGGGUCUUCCCAGAAAGGGACAGUCCAGUGGGUAGCAGCAUCACCAGCCAUAUCCUGGGCUCUUGGCUGCCAACGCGAGUAAGAGGUGGAGUGGUGCUGUCCAUCAUGCUGUGGUUGAGGCCUGGGAUAAACACCACAGUGGCAAGUUGUGCCGGGAAAGGCCGGCAUCAAUUCUGCUCUCCAGAUGCAACACUGUCCUCUGAGACAAGCCGUCUUCCCAGCCACUUGCCCCCACUCACUGAAAGCCCUCAUCAGAAGCAGCACCCACAAAAGAAAAUGAGACGCAGCCCUGAAGAGCUGCCAGCUUCCCGGAAGGUCAGAGAACAUUCAGCCCUGGACAUGGCAAGUGCAGGUGGGGUUCACCUGCUGCGCUACAUCAUGGUUCCCAGCCUGUCACCCAGGUAGGGGAACACCAUCGCACACUCCUUACCCACACUUGGGGCUCCUGCAAAGCUUGAAAGGAGGUUUCUCAAGGGGCUCUGGCCAGGACCAGGGCCACAGAACCCCUUGGUCAGCACAGGACGGGUGGUUGGCUCCCGCAGUGGGCCCAAGACACUAAGGCACGACGCUAAUCUAAGCCCACUGGGGUGAGGUGGGGAGAGGACAGGCUCCAAGGGGCCUCCUCCAGUUGGCAAAGCACACAGUGACCAAGCAAUGAUGACAGCCUGUUUUUUCCAACUUGGCACAGGCUGGAGGUGCAGGGUGAUGACCUGGGGUUCCAAUGGCUCUUGCUAGAAGGGGCUGUUAUGUCCCGGUGGCCCCUAUAAAGGCCUCUGGAAAGCAGGGAGAGCCCUAGACGAGGCUGGCACCCCUGCGCAGGCCCAAGGGUGAGUCCCGAGCUGGAGUCUGGGAGGCAGCUGCCGGGCUCCAAAGGUCGUGCAAUGACUCCGAGGCCCAGGCGUGGGGCCGGGGCCCUACCAGUCUCCAGCAGGCCCUGCGUGGAGAUCCUAAGGAGGGAGCAGGAGCGAGGAGUGGGGAGCGGGCGCCAGUCUCCGGCCGGCAGAGCCCCGGUGGGGCGACCGCCC